rnacentral:rRNA from 1 species
UUUCGGUAGGUGGAACCUGCCGUUGGAUCAGU